AGUGAACGCUGGCGGUAGGCCUAACACAUGCAAGUCGAACGGCAGCACAGUAAGAGCUUGCUCUUACGGGUGGCGAGUGGCGGACGGGUGAGGAAUACAUCGGAAUCUACUUUUUCGUGGGGGAUAACGUAGGGAAACUUACGCUAAUACCGCAUACGACCUACGGGUGAAAGCAGGGGAUCUUCGUACCUUGCGCGUUUGAAUGAGCCGAUGUCGGAUUAGCUAGUUGGCGGGGUAAAGGCCCACCAAGGCGACGAUCCGUAGCUGGUCUGAGAGGAUGAUCAGCCACACUGGAACUGAGACACGGUCCAGACUCCUACGGGAGGCAGCAGUGGGGAAUAUUGGACAAUGGGCACAAGCCUGAUCCAGCAAUACCGCGUGGGUGAAGAAGGCCUUCGGGUUGUAAAGCCCUUUUGUUGGGAAAGAAAAGCAGCAGGUUAAUACCCCGCUGUUCUGACGGUACCCAAAGAAUAAGCACCGGCUAACUUCGUG
rnacentral:rRNA from 1 species